rnacentral:rRNA from 1 species
CCAAUAGCGUAUAUUAAAGUUGUUGCAGUUAAAAAGCUCGUAGUUGAACUUCGGGAUUUAUUCAUUGGUCAGGCUUAAUUGUUUGUACUGGUGAGAUAAAUCUCUACCUUCUGAGGAACUUUCAUGCCAUUUAUUUGGUGUGAUUGGAAAUCAGGACUAUUACUUUGAAAAAAUUAGAGUGUUUAAAGCAGGCUAACGUCUGUAUACAUUAGCAUGGAAUAAUGAAAUAGGACGGACUGGUUCUAUUUUGUUGGUUUCUAGGAUCACCGUAAUGAUUAAUAGGGAUAGUUGGGGGCAUUAGUAUUCAAUUGUCAGAGGUGAAAUUCUUGGAUUUAUUGAAGACUAACUACUGCGAAAGCAUUUGCAAAGGAUGUUUUCAUUAAUCAAGAACGAAAGUUAGGGGAUCGAAGACGAUCAGAUACCGUCGUAGUCUUAACCAUGAACUAUGCCGACUAGGGAUCGGACGAAGUUAUUAAAAAUGACGCGUUCGGCACCUUACG